CCCGGUUCGGAUUCAAGUGGUACCUUGGAACCGAACCUGAGUUCGGGAUUUUUUUUUUAAUAUUAUUAAAAUUAUUGCUGUCAUUUCAUUUUUAUGACCUUAUUGUGCUUGUGUAUUCAGACUUUCUGAAGGCUAGCGUGAAGAGAGACAUGUGAAGGAGUAAUAUAUGAUGACUGCAAGAUCCACUACGUUUUUGUUUUCUCUCUUUGUAGUGUAUAAUCAUAGAAACAGAAAGGGGCUAGAUACAUAAAACUGUAUUUUUUCAGUUUUUUUUUUAAACAAGACUGCAAGGUUUCUUCCUUUUUUAUUUUAGGAGCAUACAGUAGAUGCCAUCAUAAAGGUGGUCAUAACCUGUACAAUAAUACUCUUUAUAAAAAAGAAACAUCCUUAAAUUCCUGGAAGAUAUUUCAUAGUAAAUGUGCGUAGAUUAGUCGUUAGUUUAAAUAUAUAAGCAGAAAACAUUGGAUUUUGAGAUCGCUUUGCAUUCCUUUUUUGGCAGGUGGUGAAUUUUAGGAUCAAAUAUUCCACCUUUACAAAAUUCACCUGUACA